CUGAGGUUCUUCUGACACAGAAGUGAGCUGAGCAAUGUGGUGGGGUUCCCGCUAAGGAUCCAGGCAGGGAGGACCUCUGCACUCACUGUGUGCUGUAGGCGCAUUCGCCUGAGCAUGAGCACUGCCCUGAGCACCUCCAUCUGUCUGCCGGGGAACAUCAGAACGGUACGCAGACAGCUGAGGCCAGACCCAUAGACAACGCGACACACUUCCAAGUGAGAUCUAAGAACUACGGGGUGUCGUCUGUGCCAGCGAGAUGUCUGUCCCUCCCUCAUAACUUACUGGAAUGACUGAAUUUGAACAGACAAUAUGAAGAAGGGAGACAGGAAGGAGCCGGUGCCACUGCAUGAAGUCAGUAAGGAAGAGUAAGAGUCAUCCAAGGGCACUGUGAGGUAGAGAAGUCUGGCCUGGCAGGCCUGCAGCCUCACCUCCCCCGGGGAACCAGCACUGGAGGGGAAAUGAUCAACAAAUGAUCCUUCUGGACUCCCCAUGAAACAGGUCACCUUCAUGAGGAGCUCUGCUUCUGGGACGAUUCACCAUUCUUCUGCCUCCUGGGGCAGAGAUCCCCAAACCCUGGGCCUCAGGAUUCUUCUCCACUCUUAUGAAUUGGCGAGACCCCUCCAGAGCCUACAUUUAUGCUGCUUACACCUACGUGGUCCAAGGACCACAUUUAGAAGUGAAGUAUUUUGAAGUACUCGUCCAGCCAUCUCUUUCAAUCAAAACAUGGAUUUGCGACACGCUAGCAUAAAAAUCUUUUUUUUUUGGUUCUUUUUAUCGGAGCUGGGGACCGAACCCAGGGCCUUGAGCUUCCUAGGCAAGCGCUCUACCACUGAGCUAAAUCCCCAACCGCCAUAAAAAUCUUAAGUAACAUAAAUGACGUUUCUGUUUUGUGACAGCAACAAGAAGCUGCUCCCCAAACAAAGGAAAAGUAGAUGCAGAGAGCAAACUCCGCCUCUGUUUUUUUUUUUUUUAGCCUCUCUAACAUUUGUCAUAAUAAAAGG
rnacentral:lncRNA from 1 species